GACGAACGCUGGCGGCGUGCCUAAUACAUGCAAGUCGAACGCUGAAGGAGGAGCUUGCUCUUCUGGAUGAGUUGCGAACGGGUGAGUAACGCGUAGGUAACCUGCCUGGUAGCGGGGGAUAACUAUUGGAAACGAUAGCUAAUACCGCAUAAGAGUAGAUGUUGCAUGACAUUUACUUAAAAGGUGCAAUUGCAUCACUACCAGAUGGACCUGCGUUGUAUUAGCUAGUUGGUGGGGUAACGGCUUACCAAGGCGACGAUACAUAGCCGACCUGAGAGGGUGGUCGGCCAAACUGGGACUGGGACACGGCCCAGACUCCUACGGGAGGCAGCAGUAGGGGAUCUUCGGCAAUGGACGGAAGUCUGACCGAGCAACGCCGCGUGAGGGAAGAAGGUUUUCGGAUCGUAAAGCUCUGUUGUAAGGGAAGAACGAGUGUGAGAGUGGAAAGUUCACACUGUGACGGUAUCUUACCAGAAAGGGACGGCUAACUACGUG
rnacentral:rRNA from 1 species